rnacentral:lncRNA from 1 species
AAAAGUUGCAGAUGUAGACGUCACGUAGACGACACGUUCAGACAGUCGAGCUGUAAUGUGGCAGACGCAGACGUGACGUUCGACAGACGCAGACGUGACGUUCAGUGAGACGAGUGCAUGUUACAACGUCAUAUUAAAGAGCUCGACGGAACUCCAUACUGAAGAGAGGGAAAGACAGGUUAAACUUCAUAAUUCCAUCAUGUUAUCAUUUUUUUUACUAACUUCAUUCUUUUGAGACUGAUAACUCAAACUAACUUUGGAGUUAAGGACACAGAAGCCUGCUUGUGUGAGGAGGAGGUGGUUUUCUCAGCUUCUUCAGAAGAGAGGGAAAGACAGUUUAAGGCAAGUGAACUUCAUAGUUUCAUGUUAUCAGUUUUUUUCUGAGAGUAAAAUGUUUGUUUUUUGUUUUGUAGAUGUUGAAAGCCAGAGAUAUAGGAGAGCAUCAUUCUUUUGAGAUUUAUAACUCAAACCAACUUUGGAGUUGUCUGAUUUGGAGAGUCAUCAUUCUGGGUCUUCCUUAAAGGAAUAGUUCACACAAAAAAAUAAUUUACUUGCCCUCAUGUCAUUCCAAACCUAUAAGACUUUUGUCUGUCUUUACAACACAAAUUAAUAUAUUUUUAAUUUUCUCAUAAUGUUUUGUUAAUCCAUUGAGAGUCUAGAUAAUCAGUAUUUUCAAGCCUCAUAAAUACAGAGUUAUUGUAGAAGUAAUCCAUUCCGAUAUUUAUAUAUGAAUAAAUCUUAAAUUAUAUGAUAGCGAACAUAUCUGUUCAAAAGAAAAUAUAGGUCUCCCAGACUAGCAAUGGAGGACAAAAAUUAAGAGAAUAAUAAAUAUAUUUAUUUGUGUUCCAAAAGUUAGCAGAGUUUGUAUGGGUCUGGAACAUCAUUGGGGAGAGUAAAUUGUGACCAUUUUUAUUUUUUGGUGAACUAACCCUUUGAAGAGCAGCCCUCCACGUACAUGAAAAUUUGUGAGGUAUGUGAAUGUCAUGUCUGUUUUAAUGUUUCAGUAAAGAAGUAGCUUUCUGAAAGCAAUAUAUUUAUUUAAACAAUAUUACAUGCCCUCACACUAGUGCUGCCAUUAUAGCAUUUUAGAGACUACUCACUGAUUCAAAUGAACCAUUUAGUGCGAGUCUCCAGUGAAGUGAAUUCACAAGUAAGAACCGGGAGAUCUUGUGAGCGUGCGUGUGUCUGAUGCUGUUAAAAGUAAGUUCUUAAUGUCGAAAUUUAGGAUUAAUAAUUGUAACUGAAAAUCUUAUUU